ACUGUGUAUUAGCUUCUCUGUCAGCUAUGGAGCUUACAGAAUUGUACAAAACACCAAGUGCUGCAGUGAAGAUCUCUGCAACGCCCAGAUUAACUACACAAAACCUGUCUCCACUCCAAAUAGAAAAAAGUGCUACAGCUGUGAUGAAGAAAACUGCAUGAAAACCCUUAAAUGUGCAGGGGAUGAAAACUACUGCAUUGAUAUAAAAGGACAUGCAGUAGGAGUAACUUUGAUGUCGAAGGGAUGUGCCUCUAAGUUGGUGUGCUC